rfam:Candidatus Magasanikbacteria bacterium RIFCSPHIGHO2_01_FTLL_33_34 rifcsphigho2_01_scaffold_38, whole genome shotgun sequence.
GUCCCAAUUAGGGGCAAACCGCAGACAGUAGCAGGGUAUAACCCUUAAUAAGCUACCGAGGUAAUCCUAACUUUAUUUUUUUAAAUAAAUAAAAGGUCGAGGAUAUCCAAGAUGUCUGUGGUGAAAACCACAGUUUUUUAUUGAAAAU